rnacentral:rRNA from 1 species
AUUGAACGCUGGCGGCAUGCUUUACACAUGCAAGUCGAACGGUAACAGGUUAAGCUGACGAGUGGCGAACGGGUGAGUAAUGCAUCGGAACGUGCCCGGUCGUGGGGGAUAACACUUCGAAAGAAGUGCUAAUACCGCAUACGAUCUGAGGAUGAAAGCGGGGGACCGUAAGGCCUCGCGCGAUCGGAGCGGCCGAUGUCAGAUUAGGUAGUUGGUGGGGUAAAGGCCCACCAAGCCGACGAUCUGUAGCUGGUCUGAGAGGACGACCAGCCACACUGGGACUGGGACACGGCCCAGACUCCUACGGGAGGCAGCAGUGGGGAAUUUUGGACAAUGGGCGCAAGCCUGAUCCAGCAAUGCCGCGUGCGGGAAGAAGGCCUUCGGGUUGUAAACUGCUUUUGUACGGAGCGAAAAGGCUCCCUCUAAUACAGGGGGCUGAUGACGGUACCGUAAGAAUAAGCACCGGCUAACUACGUGCCAGCCGCCGCCGUAA